rnacentral:rRNA from 1 species
UACGGAGGGCGCGAGCGUUUGUCCGGAAUCACUGGGCGUAAAGGGCGCGUAGGCGGCCCUGGUAAGUCUGCGGUGAAAGCCCGGGGCUCAACCCCGGGUCGGCCGCGGGUACUGCCGGGCUGGAGUGCCGUAGGGGCAGGCGGAAUUCCGGGUGUAGCGGUGGAAUGCGCAGAUAUCAGGAGGAACACCGGUGGCGAAGGCGGGUCUCUGGGCCGAUACUGACGCUGAGGCGCGAAAGCUAGGGGGAGCGAACGGG